GAAUUGCAGAAUCCCGCGAACCAUCAAUUCUUUGAACGCAAGUUGCGCCCGAAGCCAUUCGGCCGAGGGCACGCCUGCCUGGGUGUCGUCA
rnacentral:rRNA from 1 species